rnacentral:rRNA from 1 species
UACAUGUGGGGCAAGCGUUGUUCGGAAUUACUGGGCAUAAAGGGUGCGUAGGCGGCUUGUUAAGUCAGGGGUGAAAUCCCACGGCCCAACCGUGGAACUGCCUUUGAUACUGGCGAGCUUGAGUGCGUGAGGGGUAACCGGAACGAGUAGUGUAGCGGUGAAAUGCGUAGAUAUUACUCGGAAGGCCAAAGGCGAAGGCAGGUUACUGGUACGCAACUGACGCUGAGGCACGAAAGCUAGGGGAGCAAACGGG